GAUGAAGAACGUAGCGAAAUGCGAUAAGUAAUGUGAAUUGCAGAAUUCAGUGAAUCAUCGAAUCUUUGAACGCAUCUUGCGCUCCUUGGUAUUCUGAGGAGCAUGCCUGUUUGAGUGUCAUUAAAUUCUCAACCGCACUGACUUUGAAUUGGUGUGGCUUGGAUUUGGGGGGAAAAUUGUUGUGGGCUUUUUUGUAUAGUCUUCUCCCCUGAAAUUGAUUAGCGGUACCUUUGUGGAACUGUCUACAGGUGUGAUAAUUAUCUACAUCCUAGACAUCUGCUGGAAUGCUGCUUUCUAAACCUUACUUGUAUUGACAAUCUUGACCUCAAAUCAGGUAGGACUACCCGCUGAACUUAAGCAUAUCAAUAAGCGGAGGA
rnacentral:misc_RNA from 1 species